CCUACGGGUGGCAGCAGUGAGGAAUAUUGGUCAAUGGUCGGGAGACUGAACCAGCCAAGCCGCGUGAGGGAGGAAGGUACAGAGUAUCGUAAACCUCUUUUGUCAGGGAACAAAGGCGGGGACGUGUCCCCGGAUGAGUGUACCUGAAGAAAAAGCAUCGGCUAACUCCGUGCCAGCAGCCGCGGUAAUACGGAGGAUGCGAGCGUUAGCCGGAUUUAUGGGGUUUAAAGGGUGCGCAGGCUGUCUGUUAAGUCAGCGGUCAAAGCCCGGGGCUCAACCCCGGCCCGCCGUUGAAACUGGCAGUCUCGAGUUGGAGAGAAGUAUGCGGAAUGCGCGGUGUAGCGGUGAAAUGCAUAGAUAUCGCGCAGAACUCCGAUUGCGAAGGCAGCAUGCCGGCUCCACACUGACGCUGAGGCACGAAAGCGUGGGGAUCGAACAGGAUUAGAUACCCUAGUAGUC
rnacentral:rRNA from 1 species